GUAUAGAUUGUACAUUCCAGUGAAAAAUGUUUUCGUUUAUUGUAAAUAUUUUAUCUAUUGACAGGUCCAACUAGCAGGUUACAUGUUUUUAUAUAUAUAAAUAUCAGGGGAAGUUCUGUCAGUUUUCUUGGUCAUAUCCAUCUCUAUAGUUUUGGGUUGGGUGUGACAAUUUUUGGUAUCAGAGCUUAGGUUUAUAGAUUCUGUAGACUUUCCUCGAGUCAGUAUAGUAAUAGAAGUCGGGGCCGUAGUGUUCGUACAGCUAGAUUAGUUGAUAUUGGUCGACCUCAUAGGGAUCCUACAGUUACACCUCCACCUCUAGAAGGGGUGGCAGAUCAUGUUUUACUUGAGAGCGAAGAAGGGCAUGAAGAUUCUGCUUCUCAUGGUGGUGAAUCAAGAAUAUACUCGACCACAGCCUAGUCAGAGUUCAGUAGCACAACCAGUGGGUAGUUCCUUUGGGGCACAAAAACGUGGGCAAGGAUAUAAUUUUGGGUUUGAACAAAGGAAGAAACAUUUUCCUCAAUGUGUCACCUGUGGAAAAUAUCAUGCGGGGGAGUGCAGAAAAUUUGAUAGGGGUUGAUUUGAAUGUGGUUCUUCGGGGCAUUUUAAGAAAGAUUGUCCAUUGCUGAUAGCCAGAGACAGUGGUUCUCAGCAAGGAUCAGUGGCGCCUCAGAAUCUAAGGUAUGGUGUGACACCAUCACAAGGUGUACCUAUAGCACAAGUUGG
rnacentral:lncRNA from 1 species